AUGGCCGCCGCCGCGAAGCUCUCCGUCUCCAGCCAGGCCUUCGCGGCGCUCCUCGACUGCUGCGGGACCGCCGCCGGGGACUGCGACGGGCUACUCUUUGGCCGUGCCGCCCGCCCCACGGCUCCCCCUUCCUUCUCCGACGACGACGACUCCGGCGCCACCUCCUCCGCCCCAACCCUAUCCAUCUGUAUCACCGGCCACGCCUCGCUCGCCCGACCCUCCUCCCUCUCCGACGCCCUCGGCCGCUUCCAGCCCUACUCCCCCGCCCGCCCAGCCACCGUGGGCUUCUUCUCCUCCCGCCGCAGCGCGGCGCGCCGCCCCUCCAUGCGCGAGGUCGCCGUCGCCCGCUCCCUGUCUAAAUCAUUGGCCCUCACCCACCCCCUCGUGUUUCUGCUCGUAGCCCCCUCCGCCUCCUCCAACCUCUCCAUCCACUCGUUCGACUACCGCGCCUUCCUCCUCGUGGAUUCCCGCCUCUUCCCCACCUCCCUCCAGGUGGUCAACGUGGGCCCUGGUUUCCGGGGCCAAUACCACACCUUCGCGGCGGAGUCGCCAAUGCCGUGGCUGCCGCGUCCGCCGGCAAAGGGCUUCAGCAUCGGAGACCAGAAGGCGAUGGAGGGGAUGAUGGAUGCGUUCGGGCUGGGAAGGGUGGAGGCCUUGGUGGCCUCGGCCACGGGGCAAGCAACCGAGGUGGAGGAGAUGUAUUCUGGGAUGCUAAGGAGGCUGGAGAGGCUUGCUCGGGAGGCGGAGGGGGGCAAGAAGCUGGUGCGCCGUCAGGAAAGGAAGAACAUAUUGGAAAGGAGAAAAAUUGCUGGGUUGGAGUAA
rnacentral:rRNA from 1 species